rnacentral:rRNA from 1 species
UUGUUCGGAUUUACUGGGCGUAAAGGGCGCGUAGGCGGCCACCGCAAGUCGACUGUGAAAUCUCCGGGCUUAACCCGGAAAGGUCAGCCGAUACUGCGGGGCUAGAGUGCAGAAGGGGCAACUGGAAUUCUCGGUGUAGCGGUGAAAUGCGUAGAUAUCGAGAGGAACACCUGCGGCGAAGGCGGGUUGCUGGGCUGACACUGACGCCGAUGUGCGAAAGCUAGGGGAGCGAACGGG